UAUGGAAAUAGGAGGUGAUUUU
rnacentral:miRNA from 1 species